CCUACGGGGCGCAGCAGUGAGGAAUAUUGGUCAAUGGCCGGAAGGCUGAACCAGCCAUGCCGCGUGAAGGUCAGUGCCCUAUGGGCGUUAAACUUCUUUUGUGCGGGAGCAAUACUGGUCACGUGUGGCCAGACGAGAGUACCGUACGAAUAAGCAUCGGCUCACUCCGUGCCAGCAGCCGCGGUAAUACGGGGGAUGCAAGCGUUAUCCGGAGUUAUUGGGUUUAAAGGGUGCGUAGGCUGUGAGGUAAGUCAGCGGUGAAAUGCCCCCGCUCAACGGGGUGAAGUGCCAUUGAUACUGCCUGGCUGGAAUGCGGAUGCCGUGGGAGGAAUGUGUGGUGUAGCGGUGAAAUGCAUAGAUAUCACACAGAACACCGAUUGCGAAGGCAUCUCACGAAGCCGCGAUUGACGCUGAUGCACGAAAGCGUGGGUAUCAAACAGGAUUAGAUACCCUGGUAGUC
rnacentral:rRNA from 1 species